rnacentral:rRNA from 1 species
GACGAACGCUGGCGGCGUGCCUAAUACAUGCAAGUAGAACGCUGAAGAGAGGAGCUUGCUCUUCUUGGAUGAGUUGCGAACGGGUGAGUAACGCGUAGGUAACCUGCCUUGUAGCGGGGGAUAACUAUUGGAAACGAUAGCUAAUACCGCAUAACAAUGGAUGACACAUGUCAUUUAUUUGAAAGGGGCAAUUGCUCCACUACAAGAUGGGCCUGCGUUGUAUUAGCUAGUAGGUGAGGUAACGGCUCACCUAGGCGACGAUACAUAGCCGACCUGAGAGGGUGAUCGGCCACACUGGGACUGAGACACGGCCCAGACUCCUACGGGAGGCAGCAGUAGGGAAUCUUCGGCAAUGGGGGCAACCCUGACCGAGCAACGCCGCGUGAGUGAAGAAGGUUUUCGGAUCGUAAAGCUCUGUUGUAAGUCAAGAACGAGUGUGAGAGUGGAAAGUUCACACUGUGACGGUAGCUUACCAGAAAGGGACGGCUAACUACGUG